rnacentral:rRNA from 1 species
UACGUAGGGUGCAAGCGUUGUCCGGAAUUAUUGGGCGUAAAGAGCUCGUAGGCGGUUUGUCGCGUCUGCUGUGAAAACCUAAGGCUCAACCUUGGGCUUGCAGUGGGUACGGGCAGACUAGAGUGCGGUAGGGGUGACUGGAAUUCCUGGUGUAGCGGUGGAAUGCGCGGAUAUCAGGAGGAACACCGAUGGCGAAGGCAGGUCACUGGGCCGCAACUGACGCUGAGGAGCGAAAGCGUGGGGAGCGAACAGG